AUUGAACGCUGGCGGCGGGCCUAACACAUGCAAGUCGAACGAGUGGCGGACGGGUGAGUAAUGUCUGGGAAACUGCCCGAUGGAGGGGGAUAACUACUGGAAACGGUAGCUAAUACCGCAUACCAUCGGAGGGGCCCAGAUGGGAUUAGCUAGUAGGUGGGGUAACGGCGCACCGAGGCGACGAGCCCUAGCUGGUCUGAGAGGAUGACCAGGCACACUGGAACUGAGACACGGUCCAGACUCCUGCGGGAGGCAGCAGUGGGGAAUAUUGGACAAUGGGCGCAAGCCUGAUGCAGCCAUGCCGCGUGUAUGAAGAAGGCCUUCGGGUUUUAAAGUACUUUCAGCGAGGAGGCGUUACUCGCAGAAGAAGCACCGGCUAACUCCGUGCCAGCAGCCGCGGUAAUAC
rnacentral:rRNA from 1 species